rnacentral:rRNA from 1 species
CAGGCCGGUGGCUUACGAGCGACAGAGAAGGAGCUUGCUCCUUUGACGUUAGCGGCGGACGGGUGAGUAAACGUGGGCAACCUACCUUAUAGUUUGGGAUAACUCCGGGAAACCGGGGCUAAUACCGAAUAAUCUGUUUCACCUCUGCAUUACUAAUCAACCACGGUUUCGGCUAGUCGCUAUCAAUGCGCCCGCGGGGGCAUAGCUAGUUGUGAGGUAAUUUCGGCUCACCAGAGUGCGCACGAUACGUAGCCGACUCUGAGAGGGUGCGCCACAGGGACUGAGACACGCCCAGACUCCUCGGGGGCAGAGAGGGAAUCUUCCACAAUGGGACGAAAGCCUCAUCGGAGCAACGCCGCGUGACGUGCAAGAAGGAUUUCGGUUCGUAAAACUCUGUUGUAAGGGAAGAACAAGUACAGUAGUAACCCUGGGUGCACACUUGACGGUCCUUAUUAGAAGGCCGGCUACUACGUGCCAGCAGCCGCGGUAAUACGUAGGUGGCAAACGUUGUCCGGAAUUAUUAGGGCGUAAAGCGCGCGCAGGUGGUUUCUUAAGUCUGAUGUGAAAGCCCAGGGCUCAACCGUGGAGGGUCAUUGGAAACUGGGAGACAUGAGUGCAGAAGAGGAUAGUGGAAUUCCCAGUGUAGCGGUGAAAUGCGUAGAGAUUUGAGGACGCAGUGGCGAAGGCGACGAACUGGUCUGUAACUGACACUGAGGCGCGAAAGCGAUGGGGAGCCAACAGGAUUAGAUACCCUGGUAGUUCCCGCCGUUACACGAUGAGUGCUAAGUGUUAGGGGGUUUUCGCCCCUUAGUGCUGCAGGUAACGCCUUAAGCCCUUCCCCUGGGGAGUUCGGUUGCAAGGCUGAAACUCCAAAGGAAUUGACGGGGGBCCGCCCCAGCGGUGGAGCCUGUGGUUUAAUUUGAAGAACGCGAAGAACCUUUCCCGGUCUUGACGUUCCGAUUGCACCCCUGUAGAGAUAUGGUUUUCUCUUUGGGGCAACGGUGACAGGUGGUGCAUGGUUGUAUGUCUAGCUCGUGUCGUGAGAUGUUGGGUUAAGUUCCGCAACGAGCGCAACCCUUGAUUUUAGUUGCCAUCCAUUUAGUUGGGCCCUUUAAGGUGACUGCCGGUGACAAACCGGAGGAAGGUGGGGAUGACGUCAAAUCAUCAUGCCCCUUAUGACCUGGGCUACACACGUGGUACAAUGGGCGAUACAAACGGUUGCCAACUCGCGAGAGGGAGGUAAUCCGAUAAAGUCGUUUUCAGUUCGGAUUGUAGGCUGCAACUUGCCUACAUGAAGCCGGAAUCGCUAGUAAUGC